rnacentral:sRNA from 1 species
UAACCAGUUCUCUGGUAUGCCAUUUGAAU